AUUGAACGCUGGCGGAAUGCUUUACACAUGCAAGUCGAGCGGCAGCGCGGGAGGGGUAACCUGACUGGCGGCGAGCGGCGAACGGGUGAGUAAUGCAUCGGAACGUACCCAGUCGUGGGGGAUAACGUGGCGAAAGUCACGCUAAUACCGCAUACGUCCUGAGGGAGAAAGCAGGGGAUCGCAAGACCUUGCGCUGAUUGAGCGGCCGAUAUCAGAUUAGCUAGUUGGUGAGGUAAAGGCUCACCAAGGCGACGAUCUGUAGCGGGUCUGAGAGGAUGAUCCGCCACACUGGAACUGAGACACGGCCCAGACUCCUACGGGAGGCAGCAGUAGGGAAUUUUCGGCAAUGGGGGAACCCUGACCGAGCAAUGCCGCGUGAAUGAAGACGAUCUUCGGAUUGUAAAGUUCUGUUAUUGGGAAAGAAAGAUAUGGCGAGGAAAUGCGUUAUAUUUGACGGUACCUGAUGAGAAAGCCCCGGCUAACUAUGUG
rnacentral:rRNA from 1 species